rnacentral:misc_RNA from 1 species
GUAUACCUGGUUGGGCGUAAGCCUGACCAAACCAUGUGUGAAACUAUGUACGUCUUCCUGGGAAGUGUCUUGGCACGCUGGGCUUGCCUAGCAGCUGGGAUACUUACUGGGGUACCUCGCAAGAGGUUAACAUGUUAAUAGCAGGGAACUCAAAAAGUAACAAUUACAACUUUUAACGAUGGAUCUCUUGGCUCU